rnacentral:rRNA from 1 species
UACAGAGGGUGCGAGCGUUAAUCGGAAUUACUGGGCGUAAAGCGCGCGUAGGCGGCUUUGCAAGUCGGGUGUGAAAUCCCCAGGCUUAACCUGGGAACUGCAUUCGAGACUGCAUUGCUAGAGUAUGGGAGAGGGAAGUGGAAUUUCCGGUGUAGUGGUGGAAUGCGUAGAUAUCGGGAGGAACACCAGUGGCGAAGGCGGUUGCCUGGAGCUUUGCUGACGCUGAUGCGCGAAAGCGUGGGGAGCGAUCCGG